GCAAAUAGGGUUACUAUCUAACAAUCCAGCAAUUUCCGGGCAACAUCCUUUACCCGGUGUAGUCGUAUUGCUUCCUCUUUCGACAAAUGUUAAGCAAUCGGACAUGUUUACUAGAACUCUAAAGCAAUCAACUCCGGGGCUCGGUGCCGGAGCUUCUGGUGCCGGCGGCGAGUCUUGUGCUUUGGUAGAUGGAAUCAGGGAGGAGAAUAGUGAGAGAAUGAGAACUGUGGUGAAAAUGGAUAUGGUGGAUGCGGCCAUUGUUGCGGAUUUGAGAUGAAUGUGUUCGCAGUGGGAAGUGAGUGAGCAGAGUUGUAAAAUAGUUGUGAUGACUUGCUUUUGGCAGGUAUAAGUAAAUUUGCCAAAACA
rnacentral:misc_RNA from 1 species